UGUUUUCUAUUAUAGAAGCAGUGUUUUGUUUUAAUUUGUAAAACCUAUUUAUAUAUUUAAGCCAGUGUUAUUUCUUAUUGCAAACCUUCAAUUUAGUAUUUGCUUUUUAAUUUUAACUUUCUUUUACUUUCCUUAUUCUUCUUCAGGAGCAAAUACCCAAUGUUGCCUUCUUAUUUCAUCUAGAGGAGUUAGUCGUCUUUUAUUACAGGGAGAAGAUGAUCAUUUAGCAGUGAUGAUGUAGUCCAGAUUGCAGAAUUGAACCGGAGAUUUAAGUAUAUGAGCUCUGAUCCUCACCGUUUUCGGGAUGAAUAUCAGAAUCCUUGUGCUGUUGUGUGUACAGAGCUUGGGUGUCUAACCAUCAGUACCAAGUUUCAAAGUAAGCCUGGCAUGGAGAAUAAAUGCAUCCCAGAGUUUGGGUCUUGCUAAGUUGCUGAGGGUCUUGUUGAGUUGCUAAGAAUAGCCUCAAACUUGUGAUUCUUCUGCCUUUGCCUUCCACAUUCUUGGGAUAAUAGGCAUGAGCCACUGUACUUCUUGAUGGUCUUGCUAAGUUGCUGAGACUGGCCUCAAAUUUGUAAUCUUUCUACCUUAGCCUCCUGAGUUGCUGGGAUUAUAAGUGUUCACCAUAAUCAGAUAAAAGGUAUCUGUCUUAAGUGCCGGGGAACAUGAUCACGAAUGUCUCUUGCUUCAUAGAGCCUAUGUUGAAAAAGGGAAACAUUCUAUGCAAAAAAAAAAAAAAAAAACCUGAAUUUCCCUGCGUUUUUAUUGGUGAGAGUGAUCAUCUUCUAUUAUUCAGGCCAGUGAUGCAUUAUCAGAAGUCACUGGGUGAGGCUCCUUAGAAGCCUGGAGAUAAGUGGGCAGAUACAUCCGGAAUGUGCCUUUUGCCACUUGCUCUGUCCUUCCUUUUCUUUCCUGGAAUACAGUUGAAUUGCUAGAGGUGAAUGAUGUAUCCUGAGACAAUAAAGUGACAAGUAUAGAAAGGAAAGUCGCUACUAAACAGGUUGAACAACAAGAUAUAUCCCACAUGGGCUCUUGGUGGCAUACUGGGGAGCUAUAUACCUGACCUGGAUUAUCUCUAAUCUUCUUCGGCCUGAGAAAAAUAAAUCAUUAUUUGUUAAAAAAAUUGAAAUGUAUGUGGCUGAGUAAGUCACAUAAGCUCAAUAUUUUAAAAGUAUGGUCAUAAAUAAUGUUUAAAAAUGUUAAAAGAAUUCAAAGUAGUUGCAUCUGAGGGAGGGGAGAAUGUGGUUAAAAUUGCUGUUUUUUUAUAUGGUUGAUGCUAACUCAAUUUGAUGUUUUGGAUAAUGCAUAUGUAUUCACUUAAAGACAAAUUCAUGCAAAAGAUAAGUGUUUCUCUGUGUGGAACAUUUUAAUAGCUUCCUAUUUUACUUGAAAUGAAAUCUAAAUUCCUUUAACAAAUUCUUUAUGAUGUGGCUGGCCUUGCCAUUGUCUUUCUUACCUCACCUUUUGUCAUUUUCUUCUCUUGUCUACUAACUCCCAGUCACAAUCUCUUCUUUUGGUUUGUGACCACCCUUCAGCCUAUUUUUGCACAUGAUAUUUUCUCUGAAUCAGUCAGAGUCCCAGCAGUAAAUAGAUGAUAGGCUGUGAUUUGGUAGCCCAGGUGGGUUUAAGAAAAGGUAGAUUUAAAGAAACCAGCAUAGCAUGAUGCAGAACUCUGUUGCUUGCAAAAGUAGGGAGCCAUUUAUCCCCAGGUUUGAAUGAUCAAAGAAGCUGGCUGUGUGAAGUUCAUUUGUUAGGAACUGUGGUCUUCUGGAGAACAAAGAUGAUAAUGAAUAUGUUUUUGGAUAUUGAGAUUGCAGUGCAGAGACCGUUAAUUAUAGGAACACAACCCACCUGUGUAAUAGUACACCUGUGUAUCUGAAGGUGCAUUUACCUUAUGUAAAAGAUCUGCUCUCUAUGACUAAGUUGCUGGUAGUCACAUGGAUCAGGAACUUACCUGGUAGGUAGGUUUUUUCAAUAAAAUUUUUUCAAUUUUUCUUGCAUAUCUGGGUGCUGGUGCAGGUUGGUGCUUAAUUAAGAAAAUGCAUUUUAGUGGAUUUGAAUAGUUCAAAUUAACUACAAGGCAUAGGUUGGGAAGAAAAGGAAAUUGGGGCAAGAAGGAAAAUGAAAGAAACAAGGACACUGUGCCUGGGAUAUGACAGGUAUUCAGUUCAGUUUUGUAACUGAAUAUAAAGUUUCAGGGAGGUGUAAUGAGAAUGAGAAUACACAAAAUACAGAAAAAAAGAAGUUGUGUAUAGAAAUUGUGCAAUAUCAGUCUUCUUGUUGUGAAGCAGUAUGGGUGGUGUUAGUGAUCCUCAUUUCCAAGACCCAGUUGGGUCACAGCUGAUGUGACUGGUAUUUUAAAGGACAUGUAGACAUUUUAGGGACCAUGGUAUUUUCUUUACAGUGUGCUGAACAGUGUUAUUCAUUGAUUAUCAAAUAUUCUAGAAUCUGUCUUGCACUAAUUAUAAUACAUCAUUCAAGUCAAGAAGUCAUUCAAGACUGAACUCUAUAAUAGAGUCUUCUAACAUCCACUAGAAGACACAGGACAAAGCAAGUUUAACUGUCCAUCUCAUUCAAAUCAGUCUUUUAGGUUACAAAGUUAUGGGCUAAGUGAAAGAAUGUUACCUCUUUUCAAAUUGAAAACAACAACAACAACAAAAACUUAACCAGCCUUGGAAUCUCACCAGCAAUUUAAUGCUGAUGUUCUUGGACUGACCUGGGAUACAUUAAAUUGGGAGAGAUUUUAUUGAAAAAAUUGAGACAGUAAUUUUUUUGUUUUAAUUCUUGUGGAAUCCUGACAAUUAUAAAAGUAACCCACAUAAUUAACUCUAACAGAAGUACCAGCAAUAUUUUGUGGGUCAUUUUAUUCAAAAACAAGACAGCACAAGGAAAGUAACUGCAUACCAUGUCACAUGAAGACAUGAUCCCUUUUGUGCAUGCAGUUCCUUCUAGAAUACUUUCCCUUUCCUUCCCUCUAGAUUCUCCUCCUAUGACUCUGCCUUUGCCUUACUAAACCCUGUUCAUUUUAUAGUCUUAGUAUGGAUAUUACUUCUUCUGGAACACUUUAAACCCUGGAUUACAGGACAUUUGACUCCUUGGGGUCCUCCUGGCACCCAUCCAAAAGAGGUAUCACACAGACUUGUAGUAGUUCACUACUUACUGAUAUUCUGUCUAGACUGCCCUAAUGAGGACAUUAUCAUACCUGCUUGUUGAGCUCUGUGUCUCCAUCUCAAGGCCAGUCAUGGAACAGUUGUUGAGUAAGUAAGUGUUCAUUGAAUGAAUGGAUGAUUGUCAGAACAGAGUGGUGCUCCUCCUCACAGCUGCUUCAAUGUCUUCUCCAUGGAGAUCUUUCAGUUUCUCAGUAUGUAUCAUUAGCAUAAUUAAGGUGACUAGAGACUGCGUGUAAAUUUAUUGAAGUACCUAGACUUCCUGAUUCGUAGGUUAUUUCUCUACUCUGUAUAUCAUAAUGUCAGUUCUGUGCUCUUUGACUCUCAUCUACAAAUGAAGAGAAAUUAAGUUUCAGUGAUUAUUCUCAUUGUAAACAUAGAAUUUUGAACCCUUGUUAUAGAUGGAACUUGAUGGUACUGUUUUAUUUUGAUUCUUCCUCCUCUCAGGAUAUAGAUAUACUUACUUGAUAGAUUUUUUUGAAUGUGCUGUGCCCCUCUUUUUAGGGACAUUACUGCUUAUGUUGUGUUUAAUAUCAUGAUCUGGAUAUGUGGAGAUGUAGCAUCAUUUAUUUGGCCAAUAUUUAUUGGUUACUACUAUGUGCCUGUCCCUGUGCUAGGAAUUAAGAAUGAAUUCAAGGGCAGCAAGGAGCUCGCGGGAGUCAUGGCUGUGCGUCUCAAGAGAAUGCCUUCUCUUCUCUGGAGGUGCUAUGGUUUGCAUAUGGUUUUACCCAUAAAGGUUCAUGUGCUGGGAGGUUGGUCUCCAAUUUAACAGUCUUGAGAGGUGGCAGAUAUUUACAAGGUGAGGCAUAAUGGAAGGUGAUUAGGUCAUGGGUAUUCCACCCUCAUGAGUGGAUUAAUGUCUCAUUUCAGUGGUUCAGGUCUUAUAAAAGUGGAUUAGACUCUGAGAAAGCAGGUUGUUAAAAGGUGAAAGCCUGUCUAUUCCCAGCUCUUGCUUUCUGUCUCAUCUUGUGAACUUCUCUGCAUCUGCUCUGGCCAUUGUAAUGCCAUCUGCCAUGAAUCUCUCACCAGAGCACAGCAAUACCAGUGCUGUGCUCUUGAACUUCCAAACGUGAGCUAAAUACCGCCCCCCCCUCUUUUUUUCCCCAAAUAAAGUAUGCAGACACAGGUAUUUUGUCAUCAGAAGAGAUAUGUAGGAGAACAUGGAAAUCAGUGCUCUGUGGGUGGGAAGAUUUAGAGUGAAGAAGGAUUGGGCAAGAUAAUGUCAACACAGGGCCACUUAGGGACUUUCAAAAACUGUCCUGCCAAAGGCAUCAGCUGCUCCAGUGACAUUGCCCCUGCAGCUUUGCCUUUGCUAGUCCUCUGCUUGGUUGGAGCCACACAAGUACUGUGUCCUACAUACAGAGUGAUCUUAAGGAUUUUGAGAACAGAGUUAAAAGUUAUGUAAGUACCUGAAUGUCUGAUUGAUCCCCUGUGAGGACAGAAUGGUCUAUGUGGGGAUAUGGUGGACUCAGAUGUCCCAUACUGUGAUUACAAACCUUGGGGUUUAAUGUGGCACUCCAUUCAUCUUCAGACAGACAUCCUUUCCUUAACCAAGUGCUACAAUCAGCAUGCCUGAGGCUUUGAGAGCAGGAAUAGGAGCAGGGGCAGGAAUCACUGUGCUCAGCAACAUUAACCUUGCCUGGUGGAGAUCUGCUGAGGGGUACAGAAAACUUUAGGACAAGCUCAGCAUGCCCAGCCCACAACAGUGGGGCUCUUUGCCCAGUUUUAUACUAACACUGUAUAACAUUCCUGGAUAGCCAAAGAGCCUCGUGGAAUAUUGCAAUUAAUUAAGUCUCUAGGUUUAGAUAAUGUACUGUCAGCUGUUAGCCUCAGGUAGAAACUAGAAAAGUGGAACUUAACAAAAGUAGGGAUGUUUUACUAUGUAUAAGAAUGUGUUGGGGAAAUAGCUCAGUUGGUAGAGAGUACUUGCCUCACAUGCACAAGGCCCUGGGUUCAAUCCCCAGCAAACCCCCCCCCCCAAAUAUUUAUGUUAUUUCAUAAAAGGGCUUUUUGAAGAUCUUAUGGAUGUAUUUUAAAGUGGAUCUUAAUUGUGGAAUUGGAAUAUAUACCCUGUCACCUUGCUGUGCAGUCUCUUUUGCUCUGAGUUAAGCCAUAAUCUUUACUCAUUUGAGGGAGGGUUUUGAAUUAAGGGUGAGUUUUGAGAGAAAAAAAUUAAAGGAAGCUUAUAACUCAGUGUUUGCAACUUUACUUCCUUCAGUACCUGUAGGUUAAAUGUAUGUCAGUUUUCAGUUAUGUUGGAUAAGAAAUUAAUUUCUUGAGGUUAUUUUACACUUUGAAACACUAACUCAUCCAUGUUUUUUAAAAAUAUUUCUUAGUUGUAGAUGGACACAAUACCUUCAUUUUAUUUACCUAUUCAUAUGUGGUGCUGAGGAUUGAACCCAGUGCCCCACAUGUGCCUGGCAAGUGCUCUACCACUGAGCCCCAGGCCCAGCCUCUCAUCCAUGUUUUAGAGAAUUUUCCUCUAGUUCACUUCCUGUAGUGUGGAGGCAUUUAAAAUCUGUUGUCUGCUAAUGAACCCCUUUUCUGUUGGCAAUGAGAUGUAUGUGAAUCAUAGGGCCAAGGUUUGUAGAUCUCCUCUUGUAACAUCAGAACUGUCAGUCAAACCAGCGUAUCCAGGGAUCAUGUGAGCAAGGUUACAGAGAAGGUAACAGGCUUAAUUCAAUGGCCUAGAGAGAUACAGCCAUGCACAUUUUAUGAUAAAGCUUAAAUAUUGAUAGUUACUUUUAUAUGAUAAAGAUUAGACACUGAUGACUACUUUUCAAAUUAUAUGUAUUUUUUCUGAAGAUAUUUGACAUAACACCCUCUUCCCCUAACUUAGUAAGGGAAAAAAAAAAAAAACUCAUGAAUCCUGAUGAAUCAUUUUGAUUAUAAAGUACAUUUCAGUACCAUAUGCUGCUCUGUCCUUUGUUCUUAUCCUAUUAAAAAUUAUUCCUGGUUGGAGACUUUGAAUAUUCCUAAAGACAUUAUGAAGUUUGAUCCAGAAAUGUUUUAAAUUUUUCUUGAGGGGGUGGGAGGAAGACAAAUCUUAGUAUCUUUUCUCAGUAUUCCCACAGUCUAUCAGAGUGACACAUAUUUAAAAACUACAUAUUUUGGUUCUUAUCAUAGAGAAAAUACAAAAAUCUUGUGAAAAUAUUAUUCCUUUGAGAGUCAGGGGAGGCUUUAUAGAAGAACUGAAAUUCAAACUGGGUCUUUUUUUGGCAAUACACAGAUGACAUUUUAUUUAUUUAUUUUAAAAAAUGUGUUCUAAUUAGUUAUACAUGACAGUAGAAUAGAUUUUGACACAUCAUACAUAAAUGAUCUAUAACUUCUGAUUCUUCUGGUUGUAUGUGUUGUAGGAUCACACCAGUCCUGUAGUCAUAUAAGCACAUAGGGUAUUAAUGUCUGAUUAAUUCUACUGUCCUUUCUACCCCCAUACCCACUUCACUGCCCUCUGCCUAAUCCAUAGUACUUCUAUUCUUUCCUAGACCCCCACUAACCACAAACUGGGUUUUGAAGGGUGAAAAUGAGUUUGACAGGUGGAAGGAAGGCAGUAGGGUGUUCUUGUUAGAUGAAUUGUGUGGAGGAAUGUACAGAGGUGAGGAAGACUGAUAUUUUUCAAUGUGUGUUUGCGUUUUGUAUAAUAAUUCAGUUUUAGGAACUUAUUUAUAAUUUAUUUUUAUUGCAUGUAUUAAAUGUAUACAUAUAUUGAUAUAUAUAUAUAUAAAAUUUUCCUCUAGUUCACUUCCUAUAAUAUGGAGGCAUUUAAAAUCUGUUGUCUGCUAAUGAGCCCCUUUUCUGUUGACAAUGGGAUGUAUGUGUAUGAGAGCUGGUUAUUAUAUUCCAGAAAAUUAAAUAUAUCUAUCACUUCA